rnacentral:rRNA from 1 species
CGGCGGACGGGUGAGUAACGCGUGGGUAACCUACCCUGUACACACGGAUAACAUACCGAAAGGUAUGCUAAUACGGGAUAAUAUAUUUGAGAGGCAUCUCUUGAAUAUCAAAGGUGAGCCAGUACAGGAUGGACCCGCGUCUGAUUAGCUAGUUGGUAAGGUAACGGCUUACCAAGGCGACGAUCAGUGGCCGACCUGAGAGGGUGAUCGGCCACAUUGGAACUGAGACACGGUCCAA